AGCUUUGCAAAGUGGCAAUAUCGUAACCAAUGAUGUACAUCCGAGGUGCGAUUAUUUCUAGUUGAAAAAAAAAGAUUACUAAGAUCGCAAGUCCUACGUCAACUUUGUGUUUAAAUCAUAUGUAUAACCCACCUAUGAUU